rnacentral:tRNA from 1 species
ACAUUGGUGGUUCAGUGGUAGAAUUCUCGCCUUCCAUGCUGGGGAUCUGUGUUCAAUUCCCGGCCAAUGGA